ensembl:lncRNA
GUGGAGGCUAUAUACAGGGGUACCGGUACAGAGUCAAUGUGGAGGCUAUAUACAGGGGGUACCGGUACAGAGUCAAUGUGGAGGCUAUAUACAGGGGGUACCGGUACAGAGUCAAUGUGGAGGCUAUAUACAGGGGUACCGGUACAGAGUCAAUGUGGAGGCUAUAUACAGGGGGUACCGGUACAGAGUCAAUGUGGAGGCUGUAUACAGGGGGUACCGGUACAGAGUCAAUGUGGAGGCUAUAUACAGGGUGUACCAGUACAGAGUCAAUGUGGAGGCUAUAUACAGGGGGUAACGGUACAGAGACAAUGUGGAGGCUAUAUACAGGGGUACUGGUACAGAGUCAAUGUGGAGGCUAUAUACAGGGGGUACCGGUACAGAGUCAAUGUGGAGGCUAUAUACAGGGGGUACCGGUACAGAGUCAAUGUGGAGGCUAUAUACAGGGG